rnacentral:rRNA from 1 species
UACGUAGGGUGCAAGCGUUGUCCGGAAUUAUUGGGCGUAAAGAGCUUGUAGGCGGUUUGUCGCGUCUGCUGUGAAAUUUCGGGGCUCAACCCCGAACUUGCAGUGGGUACGGGCAGACUAGAGUGUGGUAGGGGAGACUGGAAUUCCUGGUGUAGGCGGUGAAAUGCGCAGAUAUCAGGAGGAACACCGAUGGCGAAGGCAGGUCUCUGGGCCACUACUGACGCUGAGAAGCGAAAGCGUGGGGAGCGAACAGG